rnacentral:lncRNA from 1 species
AGGGACCUAUCCCUCAUGUUAGGUUUAAAAGUUUGGAGAUAGAGUUACAUGAGUGUGUUAUUGGAUUUUUGACUUUUUAUUUUUAAGUUUUGAGAUUACCUACCCUCCUAUUUUCAAUGAUUGCGAAUUCAUUGGUGUGGUCAGAUUCCGAUAAAAUGUCAUAGAUUUUGAACUAGGGUUGUUGACUUUUUGGAGACUGUGUGUUGGCAAGUGCUGUUAGCUUUUUUGACAUUUUUUGUGAACUAUACUUAUUUCACAAUGUAGUGCAUUAUUUGAGCAUCGCAGAUUCAUCUUGUGGUCCUGAAACCAACACCGUAUGGAUGAGUUAUGAGUGGAUGAAGUUCUGUAGGUAUGAGUUCAUUGCAAAACUUCAUCUAUUCAUAACUUUUACAAACGGUGUUGGAUUAAAGAGCGCAAUAGCAUUCUAGAAUG